AUGGGAGCCUUCAGGAUCCAAGAAGAAAGUUCCCAGCACAACCAACCAAUCAUCUCACCUGACACUGUCCCCCGUGUGUCUUGUACAGCCAAACACCAAACAUUGCCAGAGCUUACCUGUGAAGUUAUUCUGGGACAGGAACCGGUUCUCCAAAAUCACACGUUCCCUCUAAAAUGUGUUGAGGAGGGUCAUUUUUUACCUAUGCACAUGAAUCAACAGACAAGGAGGCCGAAGAUUCUGUUCCCUUGUUGAUUUGGUUGCAAAUCAGCUCCCCGGUAGGGUCUUCUGCCAACUGGUAUGGUGUGGUGGAGAGAGGGGCAUGGCGUUUUGGCGUUUUGGUUGCAUGCGAUGUGGGCACACUGCUAUGACUUAAAGAGAGGUGGCCUCUUCGCUGUGCUUUU
rnacentral:lncRNA from 1 species